GAACAUUCAACAGUCAUCUGUGCUAACUAUCUGAGCCAUGCAGUCCCCAUUGUUCACUGCGAAGAGAAGCUUCUUUGAGGAAGGAGCUGGCCAAGAGCAAUUAUCCUCAGAUCAUCCAGCAAUUAUCACCUAAAAGGUGUGGAGUUUAAGCCAAGCAUGACAGUGUGAGGGUGUAAUCCCAGAACUUGUCCAGCGGAGGAAGAAGAAUUGGGUAUUCAAGCCUCCACCUGGCUACCUGGUGCCGUAAAAAUGAGUAAGGAAACUCUACAGAUUUAGUUUUUAGCAACUGCAGAAGAGCAGGCUUGUGUCUUGUCCUUUGGUGUGGGACUGGCAACUCACUGAUUUUUAAAGUACCAACACGCCCUCUUGUGGAAUGGAAAUUCAGAACAGCAGGUAUGAUCACCAUGGUAACCUGAAGAGCACUGGCACAUUGAAAAUGGAACCAAAGUGAAUACAUUUACCAGCUGUUUUCCUCAGGUGCUAACUUCCUCCACCAGAUCUCCUACCUAUCACACGAAAAGCCUUUUUUGUUAACUUUUCAAAAUCAUUCCGGUUGUCGUGAGACCAUGAGUUCAACCCGAGAAGAUUAAAAAUAAAAACAAACAAAGCAUCGCA